rnacentral:rRNA from 1 species
GAUCAACGCUGGCGGCAGGCCUAACACAUGCAAGUCGAACGAACCCUUCGGGGUUAGUGGCGGACGGGUGAGUAACACGUGGGAACGUGCCUUUAGGUUCGGAAUAACUCAGGGAAACUUGUGCUAAUACCGAAUGUGCCCUUCGGGGGAAAGAUUUAUCGCCUUUAGAGCGGCCCGCGUCUGAUUAGCUAGUUGGUGAGGUAAUGGCUCACCAAGGCUACGAUCAGUAGCUGGUCUGAGAGGAUGACCAGCUACAUUGGGACUGAGACACGGCCCAAACUCCUACGGGAGGCAGCAGUGGGGAAUCUUGCGCAAUGGGCGAAAGCCUGACGCAGCCAUGCCGCGUGGAUGAUGAAGGUCUUAGGAUUGUAAAAUCCUUUCACCGGUGAAGAUAAUGACUGUAGCCGGAGAAGAAGCCCCGGCUAACUUCGUGCCAGCCGCCGCAGUAAGAC